rnacentral:rRNA from 1 species
UACGUAGGUGGCAAGCGUUGUCCGGAUUUACUGGGCGUAAAGAGCGCGCAGGCGGUCGUUCAAGUCGCGUGUGAAAGCCCCCGGCUCAACUGGGGAGGGUCACGCGAUACUGAUCGACUCGAAGGCAGGAGAGGGUAGUGGAAUUCCCGGUGUAGUGGUGAAAUGCGUAGAUAUCGGGAGGAACACCAGUGGCGAAGGCGACUACCUGGCCUGUUCUUGACGCUGAGGCGCGAAAGCU